UACGGAGGAUGCGAGCGUUAUCCGGAUUUAUUGGGUUUAAAGGGUGCGUAGGUUGUUUUUUAAGUCAGCGGUGAAAGUUUGUGGCUCAACCAUAAAAUUGCCGUUGAAACUGGAAGACUUGAGUGUGUUUGAGGUAGGCGGAAUGCGUGGUGUAGCGGUGAAAUGCAUAGAUAUCACGCAGAACUCCGAUCGCGAAGGCAGCCUACCGGCUUCUGUCUGACGCUGAGGCACGAAAGCGUGGGUAUCGAACAGG
rnacentral:rRNA from 1 species